rnacentral:tRNA from 1 species
AGGAGAGUAGCUCAGCUGGUAGAGCAUCGGUCUCCAAAACCGAGGGUCGCAGGUUCGAACCCUGUCUCUCUUG